GACAGAGGUGCCAAGCGUUAGGCGGAAUCACUGGGCUUAAAGCGUGUGUAGGUGGAAGCGUAAGUACCUUGUGAAAUCCCACGGCUCAACCGUGGAACUGCUGGGUAUACUGGUUGUCUUGAGCCAACUAGGGGCGAGCGGAACAGACGGUGGAGCGGUGAAAUGCGUAGAUAUCGUCUGGAACGCCGAAGGUGAAAACAGCUCGCUGGGGCUGCGCUGACGCUGAGACACGAAAGCCAGGGGAGCGAACGGG
rnacentral:rRNA from 1 species